AAAAAAGAAAAAUGAGCCUAACUUAGAUAACUCAAAUGCUCAACAAUGACUUGGGACAUAAAGGACAACAAAUCUAUGUUAAUAGACAUAUCUUUUGUAGCUUAAGCUAUUACUUUUAUUUAGAGCAGGUUUUGUUUCAUAUUCUUCAAAUUAAGCUUGCCGAAAAUAGUCAUAACUCACACAAAAAAUAUUUAGAAGAGCUGAAUGAGAAGGAAAAAAAAGAAAAACAUUAAAAGGACGAAAGUUUUUUCCAAGUGAGAUCAUACACAUACCAAACGAAAAAUAAUGAAUACAAUUUAAGGAGACAACAAAAAAAUAAGAAAAAAAUAUACAUCAAAGGGAGUAAACUAUGAGAUAUCCAAUGAUGAUAACAAAUCAUUUUAACCAGAAAAAGUUCUCAUGUUUUGAAAUAACAUACCUCAAAAAAUUGACUAACACUUCAAUCAACUUCCAUUCCUUAAAGUACUCAUAAUAUCCACUGAUAAAAUUUAGUAAAAAUAGAUAACAACAACGUAAAAAUAAAAAAAUUUGGGCAUGUAAAGUUAUUAACUCUCAGAGGAUUUUCUAAAGAACACAAAAUCUCAUCCUUGUAUGUGAAGAAAUGAAGUUGUUGAUGAAGAAAUUAGAUAUUUGUAAGGGUUUUUUUUUGUACCUUCAAUAAUUCCAGUAGAAAAAACUUGCUUGAAUACUCAAUUAACAUUUGUUAUUUAAUCUAUACUAACAACUACUUGUAACAAUAAUUUUGUAGAAACAUAAACAACAAAAUUUAAAGGAUGUACUAAAAAAUAACAAUUAAUAAUAUAAGCAUAAAUUAAUGACUGUAAAAAACUUACCAGGAUCUAUAACAAUAGAAUGAAACAGAAUGGAAAAAAUCGAACCCACUGAAUGCACAGUGUCCCCUUAAGGAAAUUAUUCCCUCUAGUACCCGAGAUUUAAAGAAAUAGAUCCUCUCAGGAUAUAACGAUUCUAUUUACAAAUGUAUUGAAACAAAAACAAUGGUGUU
rnacentral:lncRNA from 1 species